rnacentral:rRNA from 1 species
AGGAAUAUUGCGCAAUGGGGGCAACCCUGACGCAGCGACGCCGCGUGGAUGAUGAAGGCCUUCGGGUUGUAAAAUCCUGUCAGAUGGGAAGAAGUGCUAUAUGGUUAAUAUCUGU